AGCGAACGCUGGCGGCAGGCUUAACACAUGCAAGUCGAGCGGGCCCUUCGGGGUCAGCGGCGGACGGGUGAGUAACGCGUGGGAACGUGCCUUCUGGUCUGGAAUAACCCUGGGAAACUAGGGCUAAUACCGGAUACGCCCUUUUGGGGUAAGGUUUACUGCCGGAAGAUCGGCCCGCGUCUGAUUAGCCAGUUGGUGGGGUAACGGCCUACCAAGGCGACGAUCAGUAGCUGGUCUGAGAGGAUGAUCAGCCCCACUGGGACUGCGACACGGCCCAGACUCCUACGGGGAGCAGCGGUGGGGAAUAUUGGACAAUGGGCGCAAGCCUGAUCCAGCCAUGCCGCGUGAGUGAUGAAGGCCUUAGGGUUGUAAAGCUCUUUUAUCCGGGACGAUAAUGACGGUACCGGAGGAAUAAGCCCCGGCUAACUUCGUG
rnacentral:rRNA from 1 species